UACGAAGGGGGCUAGCGUUGUUCGGAAUCACUGGGCGUAAAGGGCGCGUAGGCGGUCUUUUAAGUCGGGGGUGAAAUCCUGGAGCUCAACUCCAGAACUGCCUUCGAUACUGGAAGACUUGAGUCCGGGAGAGGUGAGUGGAACUGCGAGUGUAGAGGUGAAAUUCGUAGAUAUUCGCAAGAACACCAGUGGCGAAGGCGGCUCACUGGCCCAGUACUGACGCUGAGGUGCGAAAGCGAUGGGAGCAACAGGG
rnacentral:rRNA from 1 species